rnacentral:rRNA from 1 species
GUGGGGAAUCUUCCGCAAUGGACGAAAGUCUGACGGAGCAACGCCGCGUGAGUGAAGAAGGUUUUCGGAUCGUAAAGCUCUUUCGUUAGGGACGAACGUGCUCUUUGUGAAUAAUGAGGAGUAAUGACGGUACCUAAAUAAGAAGCCACGGCUAACUACGUGCCAGCAGCCGCGGUAAUACGUAGGUGGCAAGCGUUGUCCGGAAUUAUUGGGCGUAAAGCGCGCGCAGGCGGGAUAUCAAGUCUGUCUUAAAAGUGCGAGGCUCAACCUCGUGAGGGGACAGAAACUGGUAUUCUUGAGUGUCGGAGAGGAAAGUGGAAUUCCAAGUGUAGCGGUGAAAUGCGUAGAUAUUAGGAAGAACACCAGUGGCGAAGGCGACUUUCUGGACGAAAACUGACGCUGAGGCGCGAAAGCCAGGGGAGCGAACGGGAUUAGAUACCCCGGUAGUCC